UACGUAGGGGGCAAGCGUUGUCCGGAAUUACUGGGCGUAAAGGGCGCGUAGGUGGCCUGUUAAGUCGAACGUGAAAUCCCCGGGCUCAACCUGGGAGCUGCGCUUGUGACUUCAAGACUAGAGUACGGCAGAGGGGGGUAGAAUUCCACGUGUAGCAGUGAAAUGCGUAGAGAUGUGGAGGAAUACCAGUGGCGAAGGCGGCCUGCUGGGCCACGACCGACACUGAGGUGCGAAAGCGUGGGGAGCGAACCGG
rnacentral:rRNA from 1 species